ACGGUUCCUACCCGUAAAGCCCUGCUUGCUGGGUGGAUUAGUGGCGAACGGGUGAGUAACACGUGAGUAACCUGCCCCUGACUCUGGGAUAAGCCCGGGAAACUGGGUCUAAUACCGGAUAUGACUUUUGACCGCAUGGUUGAGGGUGGAAAGAUUUAUCGGUUGGGGAUGGACUCGCGGCCUAUCAGCUUGUUGGUGAGGUAAUGGCUCACCAAGGCGACGACGGGUAGCCGGCCUGAGAGGGUGACCGGCCACACUGGGACUGAGACACGGCCCAGACUCCUACGGGAGGCAGCAGUGGGGAAUAUUGCACAAUGGGCGCAAGCCUGAUGCACCGACCCCGCGUGAGGGAUGACGGCCUUCGGGUUGUAAACCUCUUUCAGUAGGGAAGAAGCGAAAGUGACGGUACCUGCAGAAGAAGCGCCGGCUAACUACGUGCCAGCAGCCGCGGUAAUACGUAGGGCGCAAGCGUUAUCCGGAUUUAUUGGGCGUAAAGAGCUCGUAGGCGGUUUGUCGCGUCUAUCGUGAAAGUCCGAGGCUCACCUCGGAUCUGCGGUGGGUACGGGCACACUAUAUUGAUGUAGGGGAGACUGGAUUCCUGGUGUAGCCGGUGAAAUGCGCGAUUUCGGAGGAACCCAAUGGGAAAGGAGGCUCUGGGCAUUUCCUGACCUG
rnacentral:rRNA from 1 species